UGCUCGAAAAUUUUGUCACAUAAAGGCGC
rnacentral:sRNA from 1 species